AUGAACGCUAGCUACAGGCUUAACACAUGCAAGUCGAGGGGCAGCAUGGUCUUAGCUUGCUAAGGCCGAUGGUGACCGGCGCACGGGUGAGUAACACGUAUCCAACCUGCCGUCUACUCUUGGACAGCCUUCUGAAAGGAAGAUUAAUACAAGAUGGCAUCAUGAGUCCGCAUGUUCACAUGAUUAAAGGUAUUCCGGUAGACGAUGGGGAUGCGUUCCAUUAGAUAGUAGGCGGGGUAACGGCCCACCUAGUCUUCGAUGGAUAGGGGUUCUGAGAGGAAGAUCCCCCACAUUGGAACUGAGACACGGUCCAAACUCCUACGGGAGGCAGCAGUGAGGAAUAUUGGUCAAUGGACGAGAGUCUGAACCAGCCAAGUAGCGUGAAGGAUGAAGGUCCUACGGAUUGUAAACUUCUUUUAUAAGGGAAUAAAACCUCCCACGUGUGGGAGCUUGUAUGUACCUUAUGAAUAAGCAUCGGCUAACUCCGUG
rnacentral:rRNA from 1 species